rnacentral:hammerhead_ribozyme from 1 species
AUCCAGCUGACAAGUCUCAAACAGGACGAAACGCGCGUCCUGAAU